UACAUGGGGUGCAAACGUUGCUCGGAAUCAUUGGGCGUAAAGCGCGCGUAGGCGGUUAUUUAAGUUGGAUGUGAAAGCCCUCGGCUUAACUGAGGAAGUGCAUCCAAAACUGAAUAGCUAGAGUACGAAAGAGGGUCGCGGAAUUCCCGGUGUAGAGGUGAAAUUCGUAGAGCUCGGGAAGAACAUCGGUGGCGAAAGCGCUCUGCUGGACUGCAACUGACACUCAGGGACGAAAGCUAGGGGAGCGAAUGGG
rnacentral:rRNA from 1 species